rnacentral:tmRNA from 1 species
GGGGGCGCACCGGUUUCGACGGGAUUGCGUCCGUUUUGAGAAGGCGUGCCGGGUUCCAGGCUCCCGUAAAACGACUGGAAAACAAUAACUGCCAACAACACGCAGUUUGCAUACGCUGCCUAAUUACUAGGUAGCCGCCUCCGCCGCCAGGCUUGUAUGGUAGCGGGUUGUGCGUCAUAUGACAGGAUUGGCUGACUCUCUUCCGCCCGUAGAGAUAGGCUGAAAACAAUCGGGUAUGGCUGGUCUUUUUCUUGCCGGUACUAUAGGGGCCAGCCGAGACUUUAGAACCGGAAACGCACGUAGUUCUUUUCAAGGCGGGUAGUUUCGGACGUGGGUUCAAUUCCCACCGCCUCCACCA